rnacentral:tRNA from 1 species
GCAACAAUAGCUUAAAUUAAGAGUAUUGGUCUUGUAAGCCAAAGGUGAAUAAAUAAAUUUCUUGUUGCU